CAAUGGCAAAUAUUUAAUCACUCUUAGAUUGUGUAAAGUGUCACAAGAUCAACUUGAUAAUUCAAUUGGCAGCGGCAAACAAAAAAACCUAAUUAUUUGAAAAAAUGGUAAAUGAGAAAAACAAGAAACAGAACAAUCAAUUAGCAAAAUGUUAGUCAUUGCUAAACUUAGCCUUUUCACACUAUGAAUCAAUCUCUUUGUCUUUUUUGUCGGUUGUGUCGCUUUUUUAGCCGUUACUUUCAACAUUUUUAAUUUUAAACAUCUCUAUUUGUUCCAGAUUGAUCAACAAUCAAUUGAAAAAGGUUUAAUUGACAUUGUUUAAUAAAAUUUGUUUAUUGUUCUACCGUUUCUUUUUCAGCUAACCUUGACCUGUUGCUUUGUUUUUUUUUCAAUUUCCCUCUUUUUUAUAUCAAAUCGUCUUCCUUCUCUUUCUCUCAAACUCUGUGUAACCAACCAUGUUAACGGCUUUUUUAAAUGUGUUGUUCAAUUUUCGUCAAUUCAGUUUUUCCAUGUUAAUCCUUUAUUUUAAACAUGCGAUUCUUUAACCCUUCUAUUGGUGGUUAUUACCCAGCAACAAUCUCAACCAACAAUCCCAACUCUAAAAGUAAAAACAAUCCUGUAAACUGGUUGCUCAACUUUAGUUAUUUAUGGUAUUACCUUUCAGUAUUUAAUUGACUGUAAUAAAAGCAAGAAUUGGAUCAUAGCUGCUCAUAUGGACUUAUUCAGGAUAAGGAAUGUUAGUUAACUUACAACGGUUAUUAGAUCACCAUUUAAAAUUACCAUUGAUUGGAUCAUUUCUUCAAUUUACCAUUACAAAACAUAUCAAUUUGUUAAAGUCUUAAAUUCAAAUUCAAAUGGUUAAAGGGUGUGUUCCUCAUAAUCAUCAUUAUCGCCACCACCAUCGUCAUUUUCACCAAUUUCAACGUCAAGUAGACAGAUAUUUUCCUGAUUUUUUACCAUAAUCUUGAUAAAACAUCUCCAUCUUUUUGUCAAAAUCAAAUCAAUCAUGGCUGAACAGACAACAAUGAGAAUCAUCGAUGACCCUCAACUAGUGAUGAUAAGAAGCCAUCAAGACUUUGACUGUCCUCAUAUUCUGCCAGUUAGUGAAUCAGUAGCUAAGGAAGCUAACGAGCGACAGACAAUCAGGUGGUAUCCUUUGGAACCGGAUGAAAUCGCCAGAGUAAAUCCUAGAUGGACAAAGCUGAAAUUAUUUUUCUUGAACACAGAAAAUCAAUGCAGAUUUAAGAUAGAAGUUAUAAUCAUAAUUAUAAUACAAGUUGAUGUUGGAUGAAAAACAAAGCAAAAAAGACGUUGCUGUCCAUUGAUUGUUAAGCUCUUUAAUUACGGAUCCAGUCAAGAGUAAACUAGUGUCCAUUAUUGGUGGUCAGAGCUACGACAAAAGUGAAAUUAAUCGUAUAAAGCAACAAGAGCAUGGCAAUGCUGUUAAAAGAGGACAUAUCAGACAAUUAAAUAAUUGACCAACUGAACAAGAAAACGAUAUUACCCAAUUUAAGAAUUGAGUUGACAAUGAUUAAGAUGAAGAUAAAUAUUUCCCAUUUUGGUAAUAACACAAUAAUAGUAAUGGCAAUAAUAAUAAUAAUAACCAUCAAUAAUAAUACUUAUAAUAAUUAUAAUAGUGAUAAUAGUAAUAAGGACAGUUAUAUUCAAAUUGUAUUCUUUACUGAAAACAUAGUAUUACUGAACAACAUGUUUUAAUCAUCUAUUCAUGAAAGUAUAUUUCAAGCUCUUAUCCGAUUAUUAUGAGUACAAUAUUCUGCAUACUCCUCCCAGGAACAUCCAUUGGCUCCAUGGCAGCAUUCAUCGAUGAUUCCUCUUUUCCGACGCACUGAAGUUGCCGUUUGACCUAACAGAUUGAGUGCUCUCUCUUUACUUAUGAAUGCAUCAUAAUGACGACCCUCGACUGAAAAAAAGAGAUAAGAAAAGGAUUAUUAAUGAAUCCGUUAGAUUCAAAUAAUGGUCAACACAUGGAAGGAUAUUUUACACUUUGCUAAGAUAACUUACACAACCAAAGGUCAUUGGAGUAACAUGAAAAUUGAAAGGAUCAUUUAAUUAUUGGAAACCAUACAGGAAAACAUUAAUCUUAUACACUAUUGAUUCAAAUCAUAUUCAUUGAGGAAAAAUCUUGGCCAGCCUUUCAUCAAUUGAUGACCAUUUUAUCCCCUCAUCUGACCAAUUCAUCUUUUUGCUCAAUAACUCUUCUAUUUUGGCGGAAAAAUUGUCACUAUCAUUAAAUUAUCAUGACGACAGGGAAACAUAACAACUUUAUGGUCAUUUUGGAUAUUUGCGUGAUCAUCAUGGACCAUCUAUCGUUAUAAAGCUAAUCAACAAAGACAUUAGCUGAAAUAAAAUUGGAAUCAACAAAUUGUAACAAUUGCUGCUUCAUAUCUGAGGAUUAUCACGUUAUAUUUGAAAAGCCUUACCUUAACCGAGGGAAAAUUAAGUUAAAUGAUUUUAGGUUGAAUGUCUAUUAUUAGUGUAGCAAUAUAUUGAAAAGACUUUUGCCAUUUUUCCACUUUACUUAAUUGUGUUGACAUUUCUGUUUGAAGCUGUUUCCGGAGACAAACUCUUUGAGUUUGUCUAUGCUAUUGAGGAAGUUGUGUAAAGAAUCAACAUGAAUAGUUAAUGCAACUAAUUUGAAGCUGUUGAUAAAAAUCGAACCAAAAAAUAGGCUAAAAAAGCUGUAUAUCUAACUAGAUAACUUGAAAAGCGGAAAUGAUGUAGGUCACCUUGUUACAACUUUGUGUACAUUGACGAAUGUGCGUAAAAAAUCAACAUCAACAAUAAAAGUAUCACUUUUUAUCUUCUUUAAA